GACGAACGCUGGCGGCGUGCCUAAUACAUGCAAGUCGAGCGGUAAGGCCUCUUCGGAGGUACACGAGCGGCGGACGGCUGAGUAACGCGUAGGAACAUACCCCAAACUGAGGGAUAACUGCUCGAAAGAGUAGCUAAUACCGCAUGUGCUCUUCGGAAUAAAGCUUCGGCGGUUUGGGAAUGGCCUGCGUAAGAUUAGCUUGUUGGUGAGGUAAUGGCUCACCAAGGCGACGAUCUUUAGCUGGUCUGAGAGGAUGAUCAGCCAGACUGGGACUGAGACACGGCCCAGACUCCUACGGGAGGCAGCAGUAGGGAAUUUUCCACAAUGGGGGCAACCCUGAUGGAGCAACGCCGCGUGCAGGAUGAAUGCCUUCGGGUUGUAAACUGCUUUUAUAUGUGAAGAUUAUGACGGUAGCAUAUGAAUAAGGAUCGGCUAACUCCGUGCCAGCCGCCGCAGUA
rnacentral:rRNA from 1 species